rnacentral:rRNA from 1 species
GACGAACGCUGGCGGCGUGCUUAACACAUGCAAGUCGAACGAAGUGGCGGACGGGUGAGUAAUACGUGGGUAACCUGCCCUCCUUUUUGGGAUAAGCCUUGGAAACGUGGUCUAAUACCGAAUACAGGGGGGUGGGCUCGCGGCCUAUCAGCUUGUUGGGGGGGUGAUGGCCUACCAAGGCGGUGCCGGGUAGGCGGCCUGGGAGGGUGAGCGGCCACAUUGGGACUGGGAUACGGCCCAGACUCCUACGUGAGGCAGCAGUGGGGGAGAUGGCACAAUGGGCGAAAGCCUGAUGCAGCGACGCCGCGUGGGGGAUGAAGGCUUGCGGGUUGUAAACCUCUUGCGCGAUCGAACGGUUAGUUGGAGAAGAAGCGCCGGCUAACUACGUGCCAGCAGCCGCGGUAAUAC